rnacentral:rRNA from 1 species
GGUGAAAAGCACCCCGGAAGGGGAGUGAAACAGUUCCUGAAACCGUGUGCCUACAAGUAGUUAGAGCCCGUUAAUGGGUGAUAGCGUGCCUUUUGUAGAAUGAACCGGCGAGUUACGAUUUGUUGCAAGGUUAAGCGGAAAAAGCGGAGCCGUAGCGAAAGCGAGUCUGAAUAGGGCGCAUAAGUAACAGGUCGUAGACCCGAAACCAGGUGAUCUACCCAUGUCCAGGAUGAAGGUAAGGUAAUACUUACUGGAGGUCCGAACCCACGCACGUUGAAAAGUGCGGGGAUGAGGUGUGGGUAGCGGAGAAAUUCCAAUCGAACUUGGAGAUAGCUGGUUCUCUCCGAAAUAGCUUUAGGGCUAGCCUCGAGGUAAAGAGUCAUGGAGGUAGAGCACUGUUUGGACUAGGGGCCCUUCUCGGGUUACCGAAUUCAGAUAAACUCCGAAUGCCAUGUACUUAUACUCGGGAGUCAGACUGCGAGUGAUAAGAUCCGUAGUCGAAAGGGAAACAGCCCAGACCACCAGUUAAGGUCCCCAAAUAUAUGUUAAGUGGAAAAGGAUGUGGGGUUGCUUAGACAACCAGGAUGUUGGCUUAGAAGCAGCCACCAUUGAAAGAGUGCGUAAUAGCUCACUGGUCGAGUGACCCCGCGCCGAAAAUGUACCGGGGCUAAACAUAUUACCGAAACUGUGGAUGAACCUCUUUAGAGGUUCGUGGUAGGAGAGCGUUCUAAGGGCGGUGAAGUCAGACCGGAAGGACUGGUGGAGCGCUUAGAAGUGAGAAUGCCGGUAUGAGUAGCGAAAGAAGGGUGAGAAUCCCUUCCACCGAAUAUCUAAGGUUUCCUGAGGAAGGCUCGUCCGCUC